UACGUAGGGUGCAAGCGUUGUCCGGAAUUAUUGGGCGUAAAGCGCGCGCAGGCGGUCCUUUAAGUCUGAUGUGAAAGCCCACGGCUCAACCGUGGAGGGUCAUUGGAAACUGGGGGACUUGAGUACAGAAGAGAAGAGUGGAAUUCCUGGUGUAGCGGUGAAAUGCGCAGAUAUCAGGAGGAACACCGGUGGCGAAGGCGGGUCUCUGGGCCGAUACUGACGCUGAGGAGCGAAAGCGUGGGGAGCGAACAGG
rnacentral:rRNA from 1 species